CUUGGACUUUGUUACUCUAAAGCACUGUAGAAUUUCUAUGAUAGAUUUGCAUGCCUGGAAAGAUUUGCUAAAUCCAUAGAUCAUGUACAUGAAGUCCCAAGCUGGGACAAUCUCCCACUCCUGCCCCUUCUCCUCUAACCCUUUCUAAGGGAAAUCUGCUUUGGGAGAGUCCACUCUGUUGGAGGAAUGGCAGAGCAACAUGCAGCAGGAGCUCCAAGGGAAUCACUGUGCCUUUCAACAGAAUCCCUGGUAUUCAACUUCAAGACCUGUUGCUUUUUGCCUUGUGGUCCAUGGCUGCCGUAAAACAGUGGAGAACUACUCAGAAGUUUAAAAGAAUUGACAUGAAACACCAUGAAUGGAACUCAAAUUAACUAUGGUUUUCCCAGGUAAUUCCAUCAUCUGACUUCUGUGAUCCACAGCCUACAGGGCAGAAGCAUUUGCAACACCAUACUGGCAUUGCAUGAGGAUCAUUGGCUAAGACAGAGCACACAAUCAGCUUUGCUGUAUGUAUGCCUGCUCCACGCAUCAUUAAGCAUUAAUGAAAUGUUCUCUAAUUGUUUCUCAUUCCUGGCUCACAGGCUCUUUAUCGCUUGGUACUUCCGUGUAGCUACUCUUGAAGUCAAAGCUAACUUUUCCAACUGUUGAGAUGGCUGGCACACACCUCUCUGUGGAAUAAACAAUAUUAACCUACUAUGAUUUGGAAGGCAAAAGAAGGAGUAAGAAUGUUCCUGAUCACGGGCAUCUAAACAACAUUUUCAGUUUUGCUUUUAGCUGCCAAUUCUUUUACUUCUGAAUCGCAAGUACUGCCAUCCACUCUUGGCUUUGCAUGAAGAUCUGUGCCAACUAUCAAAAACAUCUUAGCAUCAUUCAUUGCUAUUUGAAAAAAAAAUUUCAGUAAUGGAUGUGAAUAAAUGUUCAAGAUUUCUGAGGAAACUUCUCUAAAGAAAACCUUGCAAAUAAUGUAUUUUAAGAGAAAAUUGUUUGGAAAAUACAGAAGAUUGUAAGGAAAGAAGUCGACCAAUUUGUACCAUCACACAGAGAUAAAAGCCAUUCAUAUGCUUGGUAUAAUAUAUUUUGAAAAAAAAAAUGUUUUGGAUAUGUCUCGGCAAAACAAAUUUCUCCCAUCAGAAAUAGAAAUAAUGAUCAUCUUAAAUGUGUAUGUUGGGAGUAGGAGGAAAGUUUUAUUGCUGACUGUUAGAAAAAAAUUAAAAGGUGCAAAUGCUAAUAAAAACUGUCACCAUGCUUG